AAAAUGACUCUCGGCAACGGAUAUCUCGGCUCUUGCAUCGAUGAAGAACGUAGAAACGCAACUUGCGCCCGAAGCCAUUAAGUUGAGGGCACGCCUGCCUGGGUGUCACAAAUCGUU
rnacentral:rRNA from 1 species